rnacentral:rRNA from 1 species
GGGCUCACACAAGCGGUGGAGGAUGUGGCUUAAUUCGAGGCUACGCGAAGAACCUUAUCCUAGUCUUGACAUGUAUGGAUUAACCCUGUGAAAGCAGGGCCACGCCUUCGGGUGGAACAUACACAGGUGCUGCAUGGCUGUCGUCAGCUCGUGUCGUGAGAUGUCGCGUUAAGUCGCUUAACGAGCGAAACCCUUGUCUCUAGUUGCCAGCGCGUAAUGCGGGGGAACUCUAGAGAGACCGCCGGCGUUAAGCCGGAGGAAGGUGGGGAUGACGUCAAGUCCUCAUGGCCCUUAUGACUAGGGCUGCACACGUCCCUACAAUGGAACGCACAAAGGGAUGCGAAACCGCGAGGUC